GGGAGAGGAGCCCCAGCCUUGGGAUUCCCAGGUGUUUUCAUUCAGUGAUUAGGACUGAACACACAGGACUCACCAUGGAGUUUGUGCUGAGCUGGGUUUUCCUUGUUGCCAUAUUAGAAGGUGUCCAGUGUGAGGUGCAACUGGUGGAGUCUGGGGGAGGCUUGGUACAGCCUGGCGGGUCCCUAAGACUGUCCUGUGCAGCCUCUGGAUUUACCUUCAGUAGCUAUGCUAUGCAGUGGGUUCACCAGGCUCCAGGGAAGGGUCUGGAGUGGGUAUCAGCUAUUGGUCCUGGUGGUGACACAUACUAUGCAGACGCCGUGAAGGGCAGAUUCACCAUCUCCAGAGACAACGCCAAGAACUCCUUGUAUCUUCAAAUGAACAGCCUGAGAGCCGAGGACACGGCUGUCUAUUACUGUGCGAGAGACACAGUGAGGGGAAAUCAAUGUGAGCCCAGACGCAAACCUCCCUGCACGGAUGCUGGAGGAAGUAAGCUGCAGGGGGCGCUCAGGGGUCACUGA